rnacentral:rRNA from 1 species
UUCCGGUUGAUCCUGCCGGACCUGACUGCUAUCGGAUUGAUACUAAGCCAUGCGAGUCAUUGUAGCAAUACAAGGCAUACGGCUCAGUAACGCGUAGUCAACCUAACCUAUGGACGGGGAUAACCUCGGGAAACUGAGAAUAAUGCCCGAUAGAACACUAUACCUGGAAUGGUUUGCGUUCCAAAUGAUUUAUCGCCGUAGGGUGGGACUGCGGCCUAUCAGUUCGUUGGUGAGGUAAUGGCCCACCAAGACUAUUACAGGUACGGGCUCUGAGAGGAGUAGCCCGGAGAUGGGUACUGAGACACGGACCCAGGCCCUAUGGGGCGCAGCAGGCGAGAAAACUUUGCAAUGUGCGAAAGCACGACAAGGUUAAUCCGAGUGGUUUCUGCUAAAGGAACCUUUUGUUAGUCCUAGAACCACUAACGAAUAAGGGGUGGGCAAGUUCUGGUGUCAGCCGCCGCGGUAAAACCAGCACCUCAAGUGGUCAGGAUGAUUAUUGGGCCUAAAGCAUCCGUAGCCGGCUCUGUAAGUUUUCGGUUAAAUCUGUACGCUUAACGCACAGGCUGCCGGGAAUACUGCAGAGCUAGGGAGUGGGAGAGGUAGACGGUACUCGGUAGGAAGGGGUAAAAUCCUUUGAUCUAUUGAUGACCACCUGUGGCGAAGGCGGUCUACCAGAACACGUCCGACGGUGAGGGAUGAAAGCUGGGGGAGCAAACCGGAUUAGAUACCCGGGUAGUCCCAGCUGUAAACGAUGCGGGCUAGCUGUUGGGAUGGCUACGAGCCAUCUCGGUGGCGCAGGGAAACCGUUUAGCCCGCCGCCUGGGGGAGUACGAUCGCAAGAUUGAAACUUAAAGGAUUUGGCGGGGG